UAACACCCUAUCCCUCUCUCUCGCACCAACGUCUCUCUCUAAAAUAUUUGACCCAAUAACAUAUUAUCGACCAAACCUCUCUCCCCCUUAUUCUCUCUCUAAGAGGUGCCUGCAACAGUGAGAGUGGGAGGGAUAGGAGCUCUCUGUCUCUAAGUGGUGCCUGCAACAGUGAGAUAGGAGCUCUCUCUCUCGCUCUAAGAGGUUCCUGCAACAGUGAGAGUGGGAGGGACGAGAACUUUUUCUCUCAGUUUCUCUCUCCUUAUGCUCUUUUGUCUCUGUACCUCUACUGCAUUUUUUUUCUUCUUGUUUUCUCUCUCCUCUUUCAUUUUCUCUCUCUAGGAAGCAUUUCUUUAUAUGGACUGUUAGCAAUGGGGGAAGUCAGUUUUCAGAGAUAGCCUUAGUAAGUUAGCUUCUAUUUUUUGUGAAAACUGUUCCUAUUGCUUAGCGAGAUACAAAAUAUAUAAAAACAAAGAAAUCAGGGCUUAUUGCGAUAAGUAUUAAUAGUUAAAGGUACGAUUAAGCCAUUGCUGAAAUCCGUUGCCUUAGCUUCAAUUCCGUAUGGUUAGAGAGAGAAACAGAGGAAGUUGCACGGUCAAACCCUAUUUUUGACGCCAUUGAUAAAAUCUUCGUAGAGAGGGUCUACACUCUACUCAUCUCCCUGUUUCUCGAAGCUUCUCGAUGAGACUCUUCCUCGUUUCUCAGAACCGAGUGCAGCCUAUCUGAACAAGUUGCAGAGAUACUGAUUCAUGUCUUCGAAGAAAAUUGGUCUCAUUUGAGAAGGAUUCUGUCAGAAAUGGCAGAUCAUGACUCGAUCCCUAGGGUUUCUGGUGUGGAUUAGAGGAUCAACCACUGUAACCCUAAUGAAUUAUCUUAUUUCAUCAAUUUGGAGACGAUCAAUGGAGAAAAUGGACAAAGGGGGAAGCUAGGGUUUGUGUGCAAUGUUGAGGAGUUGCAGGACCUGGUUGCUUUGAUCAACGAAGCUAUAAAUCUGCUGAGAGAUUAGCUAAUGAUGCAAAUCCCUCUUAAUUUCUCAGAAUCCAUUGCUAUUUUUCUGAUCAAAAGCCAUGGAAUUUUUGUGAUCCAUUAAUUUGGAGGAUACUGAGUUGAUCAGAAAAACAAGUUUGCGCUGUAAAAUUGUAGGUUAUGUUGAUUCCUUAACGCUUCUUCUACUCUUUUGAAAUUGAGAUUUGGAACACUGAAGAGCGGUUUUGCUAUAUUGAUUUGGAUAUGAGAAAGCGAGAGACAGAGAGACAGAGAGAGAGGAAUUUGAGAGAGAAGAGAGCUCGCAUUUAAGAGAGAGAUUUAGGGUUUCUUGUGAGCUGUUUACAGUUCACAAGUCUCAGUUACCCUCCCUUUCUUCUGCCCUUUCUUAUUCCUCCUUUGAAAAACCCCAGUUCCUUUCUCUGUCCUCUUCUAAACCCUUCUAGACCCCUGAACAAGAGUUUCGAAGCUUACUUGUUCCCUAAACGGUGAUUCAUCUACCAAAAGACAUGGCUUUAGAGAGAGACGGUGAAACGGUGCUUCAUAUGCCAAAAGACAUGGCUUUAAAGAGAUCCAAGGGGUUAUAAGAUAGAAAAUAUGGAGGCCUUUUGUUUAUUGGUAGUAUUUUCAAUUUUUGGAUCGAUGAGGUAGACAAGUUAAAAAUAGGGGGUAAGAGGAUAUUUUUUUUAAGAAUUAAGUAUUUAUGGCACACCAAAUUUAAAACGUAUACUACACAUUAUUACACAUUUCAUAAGCAUAGCUAUAAGUCAAUCCAUAUACACAUAGUAUGGACGAUGAUCCCAACCACAAGGAGCUUCCAAUAAUCCACGGUUCGACGGACGCAAGCUAGCUCCCGCUCCCGGGAACUCACUCGCACCUGAGUACAAUGAUUGGAGCACCUCUAGUCUAGGCAUCAAGCAUUAGGUAUUGUAGGAAGAAUUCUUAUCUGUCUACAUCCAUCUGAAUUGAGAGAGCAUCAACUUAUGAGUUCUUCAUAUUCUGUCUCUGAGGCCUAAUGUGCUUAGUAUGUAUAAUCCACUAUGUUGUGGAGAUUCUUAGCAAUUGUUCAUGUGAUGUUAAAUAUUUUUGGCAUUUUGGCUGGCAUGGUUAAUGUGGAAUGUAACCCUUGAUUAUGGACUGUGCUUCUGAUGCUGUCAAUCAUGAUUCUUGCUGGUUGGAAUGAGUUUGAUUAUUCUUAGAGCUUUUGUCUUGCUGUUGAUCAUCUUGUGUCCCUGCUAUUGAUCAUCUUCGAAUAUUAGUGCUCGUUCUCAUGUAUGUUCAAUUAUCUUGUGUCUUUGGUCUUUCGUAUUGUGAUUUCUGUAGUUUUUUGGGUUCUUUGAUUAGUGUUAAUUGAACAUGAUCCUUUAUGUUCUCUUUCAGAUCUAACCUUCUUAUCACUAAUUCCAUCAGAAAAUCGUUCUUCAAGAAAUUUGUGUUAUUUUGAUUAAUCAAAGCUUUUUCCAUAAAAAGCUGUAUGGCCAUUGGAAGUUGUAGAGCAAGCCUCCAUCCAAAUGGAGACGAAGCAAAGGACUAAAGUAACCGUGGUAGUUGAUAUACCAGAUGAAGGGUUUUAUCUGUGUUCUCUAUGAUCAAUAGAAAUUGCAGAGCAUGUUGUGCCUAAUUUUCUUAUAAAUGAUGCAGAAAAUCCCAACACUGAAAUUUCUGCCUAUCUCCACAACUCUCCAACCAAGCUAGCAUAUAUCAGAAUCCAUGCCUGCUUCAAUGGAUGAGUUUCUCCCCCUUAAUCUUGAUGGAAAUGACUCAUUCGAGCAAAGUCCAACAGCAGCCCACACCAAAUCAUCGCCAUGAGGGAGAUACAAAGCAGAUGCCAUUCUUUCAAGCGUGCUGAGGUGGCCUGAGCCUCGAUGACUGACCCUAUGUCACCUGACUUGGUGCAAGCUCCAUCCGAGAAAUCAAUGACUUUGGCUUUUCGUCGGCUUCAAUAGGUGGAUAUAGCUUCGUCUGUCGUGUGGACCUCCGAUAAUUUGCAGAACUCAGCUACCUAUGCUUGGAGGCCCAAAGAUGGAUGCUAUUAUUUUAUAUAGAUGUCCUCUUAUCAGCAGCGCCCUCAUCAACCUGUUCACCCGAUUCCAUCACAAAUGUGAUGCAAGAACUUUGGGAAUAAGGAAUACUGAAGUUGUAUUGUAUUUUUGGUUGAGAAACCUUUAUUAUGCCCUUGGGAAAAGGCAACCUGUGCAUAUGUCUUUUCCUUAGGAGACACUAGGACUUUUAAAUGAUUCUAAAGCUCCGACUCA